GCUCACGGGUCCUGUCCCCGUGCUUUAAUAAAACCACCUUUUGGCACCAACCAUGUCUCAAGAAUUCUAUCUUGGCUGUCAACGGCUCCGGAACUCAGCCCAGC